rnacentral:tRNA from 1 species
GAAAUAUGUGAUUCAAGAAAAAGCUUCUAACUUUUUAAUUUAGCGGUGAAACUCCGUUAAUAUUUCU